rnacentral:rRNA from 1 species
GAUUUCGGUCGAGCGGAGAGUGGCAGACGGGUGAGUAACACGUAGCUAACCUGCCUUCGAGUGGGGGAUAACUGUUGGAAACGGCAGCUAAUACCCCGUACGCUUCUGGUCAGUAGCAAACCAGAAGGAAAGCUGAGGCGCUCGAAGAUGGGGCUGCGGUCCAUCAGCUAGUUGGUAGGGUAACGGCCUACCAAGGCGAAGACGGAUAGGGGGCCUGAGAGGGUGACCCCCCACACUGGCACUGAGAUACGGGCCAGACUCCUACGGGAGGCAGCAGUGAGGAAUAUUGCGCAAUGGGCGAAAGCCUGACGCAGCAACGCCGCGUGGAUGAUGAAGGCCUUCGGGUUGUAAAAUCCUUUUCUGGGGGAAGAAACGGACGGUACCCCAGGAAUAAGUGUCGGCUAACUACGUGCCAGCAGCCGCGGUAAAACGUAGGACGCAAGCGUUAUCCGGAUUUACUGGGCGUAAAGCGCGUGCAGGCGGUCUGUUAAGUUGUGCGUGAAAGCUCCCUGGCUCAACCGGGAGAGGUCGUACAAAACUGGCAGACUUGAGGGCAGCAGAGGAGCGUGGAAUUCCGGGUGUAGUGGUGAAAUGCGUAGAUAUCCGGAGGAACACCAGUGGCGAAGGCGGCGCUCUGGGCUGUACCUGACGCUAAGACGCGAAAGCAUGGGU